rnacentral:tRNA from 1 species
GAGGGUAUAGCUUAGUGGUAAAGUGCAUGCUUAGCAUGCACAAGGUCCUAGGUUCAAUCCCCAGUACCUCCA